rnacentral:tRNA from 5 species
GCGGGCAAGCAGCAGGUUUGCCGCCAGCCUUCCACGCUGAGCAGAGAAGGGUUCGAUUCCCUCUGCCCGCUCCA